rnacentral:rRNA from 1 species
AGUGAACGCUGGCGGUAGGCCUAACACAUGCAAGUCGAACGGCAGCACAGUAAGAGCUUGCUCUUACGGGUGGCGAGUGGCGGACGGGUGAGGAAUACAUCGGAAUCUACUUUUUCGUGGGGGAUAACGUAGGGAAACUUACGCUAAUACCGCAUACGACCUACGGGUGAAAGCAGGGGAUCUUCGGACCUUGCGCGAUUGAAUGAGCCGAUGUCGGAUUAGCUAGUUGGCGGGGUAAAGGCCCACCAAGGCGACGAUCCGUAGCUGGUCUGAGGGGAUGGCCGCCCAACCUGAAAUGAGACCAGGGUCCAAACUCUUAGGGGGGGAGGCGGUGGGAAUAUUGGACAAUGGGCGCAAGCCUGAUCCAGCCAUACCGCGUGAGUGAAGAAGGCCUUCGGGUUGUAAAGCCCUUUUGUUGGGAAAGAAAAGCAGCAGGUUAAUACCCCGCUGUUCUGACGGUACCCAAAGAAUAAGCACCGGCUAACUUCGUG